rnacentral:misc_RNA from 1 species
GAUGAAGAACGUAGCGAAAUGCGAUACGUAAUGUGAAUUGCAGAAUUCAGUGAAUCAUCGAAUCUUUGAACGCACAUUGCGCCCGCCAGUAUUCUGGCGGGCAUGCCUGUUCGAGCGUCAUUUCAACCAUCAAGCCCUGUGCUUGUGUUGGGGGCCUGCGGCUGCCGCAGCCCCCUAAAAGCAGUGGCGGGCUCGCUGUCAUUCCGAGCGCAGUAACUUAUCUCGCUUUGGUCGUGGCGGUGGGCACCUGCCGUAAAACACUCUUUUUCACAAGGUUGACCUCGGAUCAGGUAGGAAUACCCGCUGAACUUAAGCAUAUCAAUAAGCGGAGGA